rnacentral:rRNA from 1 species
AUACGUAGGGGGCGAGCGUUGUCCGGAAUGAUUGGGCGUAAAGGGCGCGUAGGCGGCCCGGUAAGUCUGGAGUGAAAGUCCUGUUUUUAAGAUGGGAAUUGCUUUGGAUACUGUCGGGCUUGAGUGCAGGAGAGGUAAGUGGAAUUCCCAGUGUAGCGGUGAAAUGCGUAGAGAUUGGGAGGAACACCAGUGGCGAAGGCGACUUACUGGACUGUAACUGACGCUGAGACGCGAAAGUGUGGGGAGCAAACAGGAUUAGAUACCCUGGUAGUCCUCACUGUAAACGAUGGAUGCUAGGUGUAGUGGGUAUCGACCCCUUCUGUGCCGCAGUCAACACAAUAAGCAUUCCGCCUGGGGAGUACGGCCGCAAGGUUGAAACUCAAAUGAAUUGACGGGG